rnacentral:rRNA from 1 species
UACGGGGGGUGCGAGCGUUGUCCGGAAUCACUGGGCGUAAAGGGCGCGUAGGUGGCCUGAUAAGGGUGUGGUGAAAGUCCGGGGCUCAACCCCGGAUCGGCCGUGCCGACUGUUAGGCUAGAGUACUGUAGGGGCAGGCGGAAUUCCGGGUGUAGCGGUGGAAUGCGUAGAGAUCCGAAGGAAGACCGGUGGCGAAGGCGGCCUGCUGGGCAGUUACUGACACUGAGGCGCGACAGCGUGGGGGAGCAAACAGG